GAUGAACGCUGGCGGCGUGCCUAAUACAUGCAAGUCGAGCGAACAGACGAGGAGCUUGCUCCUCUGACGUUAGCGGCGGACGGGGGAGUAACACGUGGAUAACCUACCUAUAAGACUGGGAUAACUUCGGGAAACCGGAGCGAAUACCGGAUAAUAUAUUGAACCGCAUGGUUCAAUAGUUAAAGACGGCUUUGCUGCCACUUAUAGAUGGAUCCGCGCCGCAUUAGCUAGUUGGUAAGGUAACGGCUUACCAAGGCAACGAUGCGUAGCCGACCUGAGAGGGUGAUCCGCCACACUGGAACUGAGACACGGUCACGACUCCUACGCGAGGCGGCAGUAGGGAAUCUUCCGCAAUGGGCGAAAGCUUGACGGGGCGACGCCGCGUGAGUGAUGAAGGUCUUCGGAUCGUAAAACUCUGUUAUUAGGGAAGAACAAAUGUGUAAGUAACUAUGCACGUCUUGACGGUACCUAAACAGAAAGCCACGGCUAACUACGUG
rnacentral:rRNA from 1 species